GUUGUGGAUCCACCAGGUCAGUUCGUCUCGGGAUUCCGAGUCCAGGGAGACCAAAUCUGCAUACGAGGCCCCUUUGCGAAGGUGUGCUAUCUUCAGGUGCUGGAGCGCCCGAUAAUGGAGCGGAGCUGGGAACACUGCCUGGAUGGAGGAGGCCAGUAGUCCAAUGAGUCGUGCCAGGUGUCGUAAAGACAGCUGGUGGCGCGUCAGGGCUCGUCGCAGUUCCUUGCGGAUUGAGCGUAUUUUGGCCGGAGGGAGGCUGAGAGACUCCGCUUCUGAGUCUACCGUGAACCCUAGGAACUCCAUGUGUCGGGAAGGGGAUAGGCAGGAUUUUUCCUCGUUGAGCAGGAAGCCCAGCCGACACAGUAGAUCCAUUGUCCAUUGAAGGUGUUCUAGGAGGACCCCCCGAUCUUGUG